GGCAAAUUCAUGAAAAAUGCGUCUAUUAAUGGCUGUUAAAAUGCAACCUCCAUUAUCAGAGACCCUAGAACUCUGAUUGCUUGAAGUUGGGGAUAAGCAAUAGGGCAGGCGUGUCCAAAGUCUGUUUCGGGGGCCUAAUCCUGCCCGCAGGUCGGUUUAAUCCGGCCCCUGUGGAAGUUUAUUUCCUGGGUAAAAUGGCCCUCUUUGGAAAAAAGUUUGGACACCACUGCAAUAGAGGAUUGCUCUCCUCAACUUGCUCUGCUGUGAACUUCUAAUUUCCAGGGUAAUAUAGUUGACAACUGUUGAAGGCAAAGAGCUAGACAGGAUGGACCUUUCACCUGAUCCAGCAUAGGCUGCUUUUAUGUGGUCAACUACAAAUCAGUACAUGCCAGUAGGGGGCUCCAAGGUUACAGGAAACAGUUGCUGCCCUCCUGCCAGAGUGCCAAAGGGUCCUUUCACAACACGGAGUAGGAGGACUCCAAAUACUGAAGACUUCGGAGGGACACAGGGGGCACCAUAUGCUUAAGAGCCAUUAUGUGUAGCCUAGCAACAUUCCUCUGUGAAACAACAGCCUCUGCACCCCGCCAUCACACCAGAAUCCUGAUUUAACUUUCGAAAAUGUUAUAAACCCAUGCUGCUGAUGUUUAUCAUUUUUACUGUGCUUAACAAGUGUUGAAAGAGCUUUGCAUUCUCUGUCUCAAGGACAGGUUACAAGUCGUAUGUCACUCAGUUCUGCUGUUGCUGCUCUUCUUCUUUAUAAACAAAACACAGCUUCCAAAGGAGGGCAUUUGAGUGGAGAAGUGGCUUGGGGCUGUGCUUUACACUUCCGCUAUCCCACAGACUCUCUGCUUCAAAUGGAAGAACCCCCAUUUAGACUCAUUUUGAACCUUCUGGGGAACCAACCCUCAAGGAGAGAAAUUUGGAGUUGAGAGGCUGCAGGCAGGGUGAGUGUGGGUCCCGCCCCCUAGGCCAACACCAACACCCCUCCCACUGCUUCUGUGAUCAAAACCACCCCACCUGAAUCUGUUUUUCUUUUGGGAAGAAUGGAACAGGGGAACAGUUACCAGUAUUUGCAUGUAAUGUCUCAUAAAGGCAUAUCUCAGCAGUAACAUCUUAAUAACCCUCAACGUGGGUCUAUUAUACCUGCAGGUAGUCAUGGAACAGGAACCCUCCUUCCUUGGAUUCCAAAGCAGACUCACCUGAUUUGACCUGAAGGAGCGUCUCCACCCCCAUCGUUCAGCCCAAACACUGAGGUCCAGCGCCGAGGGCCUUCUGGUGGUUGCCUCCCUGCAAGAAGUGAAGCUACAAGGAACAUGGCAGGGCCUUCUCGGUAGUGGCGCCUGCCCUGUGGAACGCCCUUCCACCAGAUGUCAAAGAGAAAAACAACUACUUUUAGAAGACAUCUGAAGGCAGCCCUGUUUAGGGAGGCUUUUAAUGUUCAACAGACUAUUGUAUCUUAAUAUUUUGUUGGAAGCAGCCCA
rnacentral:lncRNA from 1 species